AUUGAACGCUGGCGGCAGGCCUAACACAUGCAAGUCGAGCGGAUGAAGGGAGCUUGCUCCUGGAUUCAGCGGCGGACGGGUGAGUAAUGCCUAGGAAUCUGCCUGGUAGUGGGGUAUAACGUCCGGAAACGGGCGCUAAUACCGCAUACGUCCUGAGGGAGAAAGUGGGGGAUCUUCGGACCUCACGCUGUCAGAUGAGCCUAGGUCGGAUUAGCUAGUUGGUGGGGUAAAGGCCUACCAAGGCGACGAUCCGUAACUGGUCUGAGAGGAUGAUCAGUCACACUGGAACUGAGAAACGGUCCAGACUCCUACGGGAGGCAGCAGUGGGGAAUAUUGGAGAAUGGGCGAAAGCCUGAUCCAGCCAUGCCGAGUGUGUGAAGAAGGUAUUCGGAUUGUAAAGCCCUUUAAGUUGGGAGGAAGGGCAGUAAGUUAAUACCUUGCUGUUUUGACGUUACCAAAAGAAUAAGCACCGGCUAACUUCGUG
rnacentral:rRNA from 1 species